GCUUGGGAUUCUCUCUCCCCCUCUCUCUGCUCUUCCCCCACUCGUACACAUACUCUCUCAAAAUAAAUAAACUUAAAAAAAAAAAAAAAAAAAAAAAAAAGAAUGAUUCCUGAAGAAAGCCCUUUCAUGCCGAAGGACUUCCCAAAGCAAGGAAGCACAGUGUUCAAAUCCACCCUCCAAAGACUUUCAGCGAAAGAGGGGCUCUGCGUUACCUGUACGAACACCUCCAGGAUAUCUGGGCUCAGUGAGAAUCUAUCCUGCAACUUUUUACUAAAUGGGUCACGAAUACUUAGAACUUUGUUUCUUUACACGGACUUGGGGAAAAUUGACAAACAGUAUUUAAAAAACAGAAACAAAAAACCUGCUGGCGACUUACGAAGGGAAAAUGGGAGACCGCAAGGGACACCAGGCCGGUGACCCUCCAGUGCCCACUGUGCGUCCUCAGUGCCAUCUGGCCAUGCUGUGCUCUCAAACUUCUCGGAGCCCUGGGCUAACCUCUGGUCACCUGAGGGGGUGCCCUCUGAUAACACAGGAAAUUCCCAGCUUAACUUGUGUAUGAACAUGGGGUCUGUCUUCCUUAUAAGGGGAAAGAACAAAAACCAAGAAAACCGAACCAGCCGGGACAGGGGCAGAAAUCCCCGGGGACCACUGACACGCCGGCACAAAAGCAGGCUCCAGGAACAGCAGCCAGGCUUCAGAGGUGCCACCUCACAGACUGCCAGCAAAGCCCAUGUCAGAGUGGGAUUAAAUACCGAGGGAGCUUGCCUAAUAGACUGUGACAUAAUCCCUCAAGAAAAGUGGGGGAAGCCCCACUGCGCUAAUCAUUUCAAUCUAGACCUGCCAAGCCCUCUUGAGACCAGUAAGCAGGAGAAAGCCUGAGGCGUCAGCCUGAGCAGGGACGACCUUAUUCCCAGAGCCCGGACUGGCAAUGUCCCAGGGUCGGCCCGCCGGGGCCAUCGGGGACAGGCAACCGACCAAAGCUGGGGGACUGACUUGGAACGGGUGUCCAGGAGGGAACGGGAAGAAGCCACCGGCUUGCCGAGGGUCAGAUCUGUCUCGUGCCUCCCGCACUAAGCUUCCAGGGCAUUUAAAUUCCCACUCACAGAGCUGGUGACAGCCAGCUCCUCCCUCUCGGGUCAAAGACUAGAUCUGGGUGCCCAUUCUAAGGAAUGCCUAUUUGGCCACUCCACAGGGCACAGGAGCGUGCUGAAUUCAACACACACCACGGGCUUGGCAAAAACAGCACGCAGUCAAGAAAUCUCAUGGCUUCAAAGCAGGCUGGCGGGGUGGGGCACGGGGCCGCUUUCUGCAGGCCAAGUGACCAACCACCAGCUCCGCUUCUUACGCUCUUGGUACGUGUAACUUAGCGCCUUGGUUUUCUCACCUGUGGAAUGGGGUGACUGUAGUACCUACCAGGGUUGUUAAGGUUAAAUGAGAUUAACGUGGAUAAAGCCCUUGACAUGAGAAAGGCACAAAGUACCACACAAAAAGCAGCUACCAGAUUUAAGGAUAACCCUAAACUGGCUGGGCUGCUCAUCAGGAAGCACUUUCUGUACAGAGAAGCUUCAGCCAACUCCCCUUGGGGGUCGCUGCUGACUGCUGGCCAACAAGUUCCCGCUACACUUGGCCGGACUGAGUGCGCGCUAUCCUCUCCCGACAGACCCUGACAAAACUGACAAAUCAACACGUCCCCUUCCUCUGCUCUAAUCUAGCUGGGAAGAGGAAGUAACCGAGUGGGUGACCAGGAGGCAAAGGCACAGGGAGAGCUGAGCCCCAGGAAGAAGGGACAAAGGCCCCUUAAAAAAACAAAGCUUCCCGACAUGGAAAUUCUCUAGACGAGAGAGCUGGAAGGAAACUGAAAGGGGCCUGGGUUUGUGGAUCGAUCUGGUUUGCAAAAAAACAGAAGGGGGUGGGGGCAAAAAAAAAAAAACAAAAGGUGGACACUCAUGGGAGCAGUGGCUGUUACCUGAAGAUCAUGAGAGCCCUUGACAACAGGCGGCUAGGUUAAUGUGAAGGUCAGGGUUAUGACCAUUAACUGCCCAAACGCUCAACAAAUUGCCUGGGUAGGCUCGGAAUGACCCAUUAACUAGGGACAAAACCACACAAAUUAUGGGGAGGCUCUGCCUCUUCAAAUGGUUAACGACAGGCCUAACUGCCGAAGUCCCCAAAUCCGACCGUGUGGGACAGUUGUUUACUGGGAGCGAAGGCACAGAGGCUUUCCCUCGCUUUCCGACGAGAUGAAGGAGCCCCGGGGGGUGGGGGGCACCUCACUGAGGGAUUUUCAGAGGCAGGAAAUUCUUGAAAUAAACCUCUGGGCCUCGCACAUGGUUUUCAGUGUCCUUACUACCUAGGUUUAUCGACCAGAACUCAAGAGCAAAGGGGCUCUAUGUCUCCCUUCCCCUCAAUAUUCUCACGUGGUGUCACAACAGACUGUGACAUCGCGCCACCUCCAUGGUAAUGUGCCCACGUAACAGACAACACCCCACCCGAGCAGCCAAGCGCAAACCAACCAUGGGACACGAGAAGCCCGAUCGCCAGCACCCCCAACCCCUCACUUCAACGUGAGCAGAAGAGCCGGUCCAGUGCUGAGACCCGGAUGGGAACGCACCUACAGCCAGAAGUCAAUUUCUCCAAUGGAAAUGGAGAAAUCUGCACUUGGAAUGGGAUAUUGUACAGUGUGGACACUUCUUCCUCCCACAACUGAUUUUACAUACCUAACAACCCCACUUCACAGCAGUUACGUUGUGAGUAUUUUGAGAGGAAGACUAAGACAAAUGGCCCACUGAACUGCAGUUAACAUCUCCUUAUCCCAACGUAAGUGAACUUUUUUUCCCCCCUAAGAAUGGAAAAAAAAAAAAAAAAAAAGGUAAACAGGAUCUUUCAGAGGGGAAAAGGG